UUUAGCAGGUCUGAGUUGAUGUUGACAGGGAUUCACUGUAGUUAAGCUCCGAAAACAUUUGGCUGCAGCUGCAGGGUGUCAGUAGAAUCAUGGGGCUCAAUUUUUGCUUCCCUGUUCCCAAACCCACUGCCAGAAGGAAAAGCAGAAGACAUCCCAACACAUGCCUGUGCAGGAGACAAGGGCAGACACAUAUCUAAGAAGCUUGUCCUGCUGCCAGCAUCCCUCAGCCUUCGCUCAGCUGGUCCCGGUACAAUUAGUGAAGAACAGCCUCCAACACCAAUGCAGGGGCUUGGAAAUGGUCAGCCGAUCACUCAGGUCGCUGACAGCCAGGAUACUCUUCACAGAAGGAGUGAGGAGCUGAAAGUCUUGACUGUUGUUGCCCUACUGGGGGCUGUUUACUUCUUGUAAUGAAUUAUUAAAGGAAAUGAAAGGG